UGAACCUGGGAGGCAGAGGUUGCAGUGAGCUGAGAUCGUGCCACAGCACUUCAAUCUGGGUGACAGAGUGAGACCUUGUCUCAAAAAAAUAGAAAGGGUGUUAAAUAUAAUCUGGCUCAGUCUUCUUCCAGUUCCUGAGUCUCUUCAAUGUUGCCAGUAUUUGGCCUCUCCAGGCCCUGCCCGAACACCCUCAGAGAUGAGGUAUUCACCCCUGACCUGUGCAGCUUAUUCUUUGUGGGCAAUGCUCAUUAUUAAAAUGUUCUUUCUGAACGUGAGCUCCACUCUGUCUGACAACUCUGCCCACUAGUGAUGCCACGCGGUGAGGCUGGUUGACCUUCCAGGUUAACCUGUCAGGCCUUCCCUAGGCUGAGCACCCUCAUUUUCUUCCGCUGUUUCUUAUAACGUGAUCUGAAGCCUCUUCCAACUCCUAGUCCUUCUUGAGUCCGCAUAUGAGCAUUUGUCUCUGUGGGUGCAAAUUUAAGUGUCCUUUAUGAGGAAAUGUACAUCUCUAGUUGGUGAACUUCCAUCCCUUAGAGAGAGAAAUAGAAGCAAAGAUUUAAAACAAGCUGUUUCUUUAUGUCUUGGAAACUUUUAAUUUAUCCAUCCAAGCUUUUUUUUUCUUUUAAAGCCUUUGAGAGCAGGCCACCAUCCAAGCUUAUUUCCACUAACCUAGAGAAUUAAAUAUAUCUGAUUUGUAGCACAAAAUAAAUAAAAGGUAAAAGUUCUCUCCAACCCUCCAUCAAGUGGUUUAAAAACUGUCAUUGAUUUUAUGUCUGGAAUUGAAGUUGUUUUGGUGCAUGCGUGCAUACACACAGAUACACACUAAUCCUAAAAAUGAGACGGAGAUGAGCUGCAAGAAAACUCAAAAGUGCUGUAAGUAUAACUCUCAAAAAUAGUGUUACAGCUUUAGAGUCCUUUUGUGUUCUGUUUGUAUCAAAAGCACAUUUAGGAGGUUCUUUAUAGGUGGGAGGGGAAUACAUCAAGAGGAAGAGGUUGCUUGAUUCUUGGUCCCUUAGAUUAUGAAGACUCUCUGGCCAGAGUUUUGGAAAAGGGAUUAUGUCUACAAGUAAACUUAUGGUUUCAGGACUGCCUUAGAAUCUUUUUCAAAAGAAGAAAGGAAAGUUCUCUACUAGGCAUUAAUGGCACCCACCUUAAUUUUUAGCCUUUGCCUUUUGGUUCCUGUAGGGGGAGCCCUUGAUAGCAGGUUUUUCCGCCUUCGACACUGGCUUGGAGGAAAACUCCAGUUCAAGCUGUUUAGGUAAUUUUGGCGUUUGGCCCACCUGCCCCAGCUUUGAAGAACAGUAACUUGUACAGGCAAUGCUGACUGAUGCUUGUCAGUCACAUGUGAGAAGAGAUUAGGAAGAUGAGUGGCAUGUAUUUAUUUUUUUUUUAAACUGUAAGCUUGGCUUCAGGGGUGGGAUUGAUUAUGUGGAUCUGUGCACAACCAGGUACGCUCGUUAGCUAAGCCCAUGAACACACACGGACAAGGCACCGACUGUGCUUCUGUGUUUGUGACUUUUUUUCUUGGAAAGAAGAAAAUGAAGUUGAAUUGAAUCCAUCUCUUAUUGGUAGGGUUUUUAAAAUGCUACGGUCCCGGAGAAAGCAGGGGAAGACUCAAUAAAAGUGAAAGUCUGCAUCACUGAACUUUUACCAUGUCCUUGUAACUGGGCUAUGCACUUUUUGUACAUUGGUUGGAGGUUAAGUAAUGUGCUCAAACUGGUCAGCUGGUCGGCCGCACAGCUAGGAUUCCAACUCACCAGCCUGGUGCAAGUCCGCUUUCUUCUCAGCCUGGCUCUACCGCCUUCCUCAGUACAGAAGUGGGUGCUUAGCACACCAUGCUGGUUUAUUGGAAGGUCAGCAGUUCCAUAUGCUUCAAUACAGGACACUUUGUCAGAGUGAAGUCAUGGAAAUCCAACUACUCAUGAAGAAUGCACAGAGGAAUAGAGACAGAAACACCCAUUUCCACAGGAUCUGCAUGGACCCUCCUGGGAAGCAGGAUGGGAAAUGUGAACAGCACCGGGCUUGGCCUCGGAACUUCAAGCACUUGCUGCCCUGACAUGGGCUAGGUCAUGACCUCAGGCAAGCCGCUGCACCCUGCCUCCAGCUCUGUGACCUUACAGAGUUGUUGCAAGGAUAAUGCUUGGGAAAGUGUCUUCGGAACUCUUCAAUAGCCUGUAAACCUAGGUUCCAGCAGAUGCAAUUCACAGAAUAUUCAAGGUUAGGCCAGUGCACGUGGCUAUGAACAGCAAACAAGAGCCUUUUCAAUGCCUGCAGUGCAAAAACUCAGUGAGUUAUUUUUCAGUGGAGGGGGGCACUUGGCAUAUGAACUCACACCACAAGAGUCACAUUUAAGUUAAUAUGUGUUUACGUUGUGUUGACAAAAAGGGUAGGAAGCCAAG